rnacentral:lncRNA from 1 species
AAGCAGAAUGCACCCAUGCCACAGUGCUCCUUCCUGCAGCCUGUCAGGCGUCGGCCCACCCUGCAACAUCCAGGAUGUCAUUUGAGCCCUGGUCACACGAAAGCACUGCAUGGGAUGAAGGUGUCCUUAUGAAGGAGGCAAAGGGAGUUCUGACACGGAGAAGAGUGGUCCAUGUGAAGAUGGAGGCUGAUAUUGGAGUGAUGCAGCCACACUCCAAGGAACACCCGGAGCCGCCAGAAGCCGGAAGAGGCAAGGAAAGACCCCCACCCAGAGCCGUCAGAGAGCACAGUACUGCUGACACCUUGAUUUCAGACUUCUGGCUUCCAGGACUGUGAGAGUAAAUUUCUGUUGUUUUAAACUGCCCAGUUUGUGGUAGUGUGUUAUAGCAGCCACAGAAACUAAUAGAGACUGGUCUAGCACCCUCGACAGAAUGUGUGUGUUGUAAGGGGCUCUCCUGAUCCCUAGUGAUGGGGAGUCAGAGGACUGCUUAGUGUCUGAACAGAGGGUUGGGGAAGCUGGGUUGUCCUGAAGAACCAGCAGUCCCCACUUGGCAGAAAGGGACCCUGAACUUGUGGGAGGUGGGGGCUGAGGGGCACCUGCUAGCCAU